rnacentral:lncRNA from 1 species
CAGGCUCAGAAAUUAUGCACAGGUUUUUAUACUUUAUAAAUCUGUUUUUAUAAACAGGUCCAUUGGGACCCUCAGGAGUUAUGGAAGACACAGGACAAUGCCUCAUUCUGUGGGAAUGUCUAACAUUCUGUUAGAAUGUCUAACCACACAGGCUCCUCCCUCCUCAAUGCCUCAGGUGUCCACAAUCAUCAUGAGAAUGAUGGGCACCCCCACAGAUUUCCAAAAUAUCCCUAGGCAGCAAUAUCACUUUUGCUGAGAACUACUGGUUUGCUGUUUUUUCUCCAGGGCUGCCCCCACUGACUCAAAUGACUGAAAGUUGAUUCUAACUGUGAAACCAAAGAAUGAUAGCACUAGAAGGGACCCUAAAGUUUAUCUAUCUGGCCCCCUCCCUUUACCCAUGUUAGGACAUUUGGGGUUGAAAUCAUUCCUCACCACUGAGCUUCAGUGUCAGGCUGGAUACUCUCUAGUGCCCACUAAAAUCCUGGAUUCUUGCAUGCAAAUAAAUCAGAAAGAUGCAAAAAUAAAAUCCUUUACAAAAUGUCCAAAAGACUGGCCUCUAGGAGCAGAAUUGUCUUAGCCGGUUAGUGUCCAAUUGGUUUUCCCACUAUUCUUCCCAAACUCCAGCUAUCAGAAUCUAAGCAGGACCUUGGGAACUAAGUAACUGACUUCAUACGCUCGUGCCCUGCGCAGGGCCUCUGGCUCUGC